rnacentral:rRNA from 1 species
UACGUAGGGUGCAAGCGUUGUCCGGAAUUAUUGGGCGUAAAGGGCUCGUAGGCGGUCCAUCGCGUCGGGAGUGAAAAGCUGGGGCUUAACCCCAGUCCUGCUUCCGAUACGGGUGGACUAGAGGUAGGUAGGGGAGAACGGAAUUCCUGGUGUAGCGGUGAAAUGCGCAGAUAUCAGGAGGAACACCGAUGGCGAAGGCAGGUCUCUGGGCCACUACUGACGCUGAGGCGCGAACGCGUGGGGAGCAAACAGG